UACGUAGGGUGCAAGCGUUAAUCGGAAUUACUGGGCGUAAAGCGUGCGUAGGUGGUUUGUUAAGUCCGUUGUGAAAGCCCUGGGCUCAACCUGGGAAUGGCAGUGGAUACUGGCAAGCUAGAGUGCGGUAGAGGGUAGUGGAAUUCCCGGUGUAGCAGUGAAAUGCGUAGAGAUCGGGAGGAACACCAGUGGCGAAGGCGGCUACCUGGACCAGCACUGACACUGAGGCACGAAAGCGUGGGGAGCAAACAGG
rnacentral:rRNA from 1 species